rnacentral:rRNA from 1 species
ACGCACGCUGGCGGCAUGCCUAACACCUGCCAGUCGAACGAGACCUUCGGGUCUAGUGGCGCACGGGUGCGUCACGCGUGGGAACCUGCCCCUAGGUUCGGAAUAACUCCCCGAAAGGGGUGCUAAUACCGGAUAAUGUCUUCGGACCAAAGAUUUAUCGCCUUUGGAUGGGCCCGCGUUGGAUUAGCUAGUUGGUAGGGUAAAAGCCUACCAAGGCGACGAUCCAUAGCUGGUCUGAGAGGAUGAUCAGCCACACUGGGACUGAGACACGGCCCAGACUCCUACGGGAGGCAGCAGUGGGGAAUAUUGGACAAUGGGCGAAAGCCUGAUCCAGCAAUGCCGCGUGAGUGAUGAAGGCCUUAGGGUUGUAAAGCUCUUUUACCCGGGAUGAUAAUGACAGUACCGGGAGAAUAAGCUCCGGCUAACUCCGUG